GCCGAUAAGCCAAAAAAACUGUUUAUGAUUAAAUACUGAAGGCAAGGAAAAAAAAAUACUAUAUUCUUUUGUUUGUGCCCACUCUUUUCUAACGUGUGCCAGUACAAAGAGAACAUAUGCCAGUCACAUAUCAUAGUUUUCCAACCACAAAGGCAAUCUAGAUCCAACAUGCUGGAAAUGACGAAGUUUUAGCAGUUUGCUGAUCUGAAGCAAUGAUCUUAG